rnacentral:rRNA from 1 species
UAUCUUAGUGGCGGACGGGUGAGUAACGCGUGGGUAACCUGCCCCAUACCGGGGGGUACCACCUGGAAACAGGUGCUAAUACCGCAUAAGCGCACGGGAGCGCAUGCUCCUGUGUGAAAAACUCCGGUGGUAUGGGAUGGACCCGCGUCUGAUUAGCCAGUUGGCAGGGUAACGGCCUACCAAAGCGACGAUCAGUAGCCGGCCUGAGAGGGUGGACGGCCACAUUGGGACUGAGACACGGCCCAAACUCCUACGGAAGGCAGCAG